CCUACGGGACGCAGCAGUAGGGAAUAUUGCACAAUGGGGGAAACCCUGAUGCAGCGACGCCGCGUGAGUGAGGAAGUAUUUCGGUAUGUAAAGCCCUAUCAGCAGGGAAGAAAAUGACGGUCCCUGACUAAGAAGCCCCCGCUAACUACGUGCCAGCAGCCGCGGUAAUACGUAGGGGGCAAGCGUUAUCCGGAUUUACUGGGUGUAAAGGGAGCGUAGACGGCUAGUCAAGUCAGAAGUGAAAGCCCAGGGCUCAACCUUGGGACUGCUUUUGAAACUGAGUAGCUAGAGUGCAGGAGAGGUAAGCGGAAUUCCUAGUGUAGCGGUGAAAGGCGUAGAUAUUAGGAGGAACACCAGUGGCGAAGGCGGCUUACUGGACUGGAACUGACGCUGAUGCUCGAAAGCGCGGGUAUCGAACAGGAUUAGAUACCCCUGUAGUC
rnacentral:rRNA from 1 species